CCCCUCUCAGGGUCGCACCUGGAGAGUUUCCAGUACUCUACCAGUCUCAAGUACAGGAGGGAGAGUCAAGCAGAGGCCUAACCAUUCCAUUCCUAGCUUGGCCAGUGGCUAGUGAGUGGAAGGCCAUCUGCUACAGGU
rfam:Ornithorhynchus anatinus chromosome 3, whole genome shotgun sequence.